rnacentral:rRNA from 1 species
UACGUAGGGGGCUAGCGUUGUCCGGAUUUAUUGGGCGUAAAGGGCCCGUAGGCGGUUUGGUAAGUCGGGUGUCAAAACUCCAGGCUCAACCUGGAGCGGCCAUCCGAUACUGCCAUGACUUGAGUCUGGUAGGGGAGUGCGGAAUUCCUGGUGUAGCGGUGAAAUGCGCAGAUAUCAGGAGGAACACCGGUGGCGAAGGCGGCACUCUGGGCCAGUACUGACGCUGAUGGGCGAAAGCGUGGGGAGCAAACAGG